rnacentral:rRNA from 1 species
GACGAACCGUGCGAACGUUGUUCGGAUUUACUGGGCGUAAAGGGCGCGUAGGCGGCCACCGCAAGUCAGUUGUGAAAUCUCCGAGCUUAACUCGGAAAGGUCAACUGAUACUGCGGGGCUAGAGUGCGGAAGGGGCUACUGGAAUUCUCGGUGUAGCGGUGAAAUGCGUAGAUAUCGAGAGGAACACCUGCGGCGAAGGCGGGUAGCUGGGCCGACACUGACGCUGAUGCGCGAAAGCCAGGGGAGCGAACGGG